UCUCCGUAGUUGCACCUGCGGAGGGAUCAUUACUGAGUGAGGGCUUCGGUCCGACCUCCAACCCUUUGUGAACCAAACUUGUUGCUUCGGGGGCGACCCUGCCGCUUCGGCGGUGCGGCGCCCCCGGAGGCCAUUAAACACUGCAUCAUUGCGUCGGAGUUAAAGUAAAUUAAACAAAACUUUCAACAGCGGAUCUCUUGGUUCCAGCAUCGAAGAAGAACGCAGC
rnacentral:misc_RNA from 1 species